rnacentral:rRNA from 1 species
AUGAACGCUGGCGGCGUGCUUAACACAUGCAAGUCGAACGGGAAACCUUUUAUUGAAGCUUCGGCAGAUUUAGCUGGUUUCUAGUGGCGGACGGGUGAGUAACGCGUGGGUAACCUGCCUUAUACAGGGGGAUAACAGUCAGAAAUGGCUGCUAAUACCGCAUAAGCGCACAGAGCUGCAUGGCUCAGUGUGAAAAACUCCGGUGGUAUAAGAUGGACCCGCGUUGGAUUAGCUGGUUGGUGGGGUAACGGCCCACCAAGGCGACGAUCCAUAGCCGGCCUGAGAGGGUGAACGGCCACAUUGGGACUGAGACACGGCCCAGACUCCUACGGGAGGCAGCAGUGGGGAAUAUUGCACAAUGGGGCAAACCCUGAUGCAGCGACGCCGCGUGAAGGAAGAAGUAUCUCGGUAUGUAAACUUCUAUCAGCAGGGAAGAUAAUGACGGUACCUGACUAAGAAGUCCCGGCUAACUACGUG